UACGAAGGGGGCUAGCGUUGUUCGGAUUUACUGGGCGUAGAGCGCACGUAGGCGGAUCGUUAAGUCGGGGGUGAAAUCCUGGAGCUCAACUCCAGAACUGCCUUCGAUACUGGCGAUCUAGAGUCCGGAAGAGGUGAGUGGAAUUCCGAGUGUAGAGGUGAAAUUCGUAGAUAUUCGGAGGAACACCAGUGGCGAAGGCGGCU
rnacentral:rRNA from 1 species